AUCAUCAGUAGUGGUUAAUACUUACUCGUAUUAAUUACAAUUACUUUUAUAGAAACCUACGACCCUUCCACUUGGACUUUUCCGUUUGGAUUUUUCCAUCUUCUGGAUUUCCCAGUCGAUGGGGAUUUUCGGACUAGUUAAUACUGGAGCUCGAGUGGUUGGUUCCGACAAUAACCCAUAGCUGAACGGUUUUUGACCACCUCCAAACAAGGUGGGCACAAGCUCCGUUUCGUUUCCGGUUUCUUAGAUUAUAGUCUUCUAUGAGGGGAUCAUCUGUAAAGUUUUGGGCUUAGGCCCUAGCAGGUGGAGUUGCUCGAUUGCAGAGAGCUGUAUAAUGCAGCUUGAGAGUUUGAAAUCGGGCCUCCCUUCAUGGAAGUACAUUC
rnacentral:snoRNA from 1 species